UCGAGAAUCUUCCGCAAUGCACGAAAGUGUGACGGAGCGACGCCGCGUGAUUGAUGACGCUCUUCGGAGUGUAAAAAUCUUUUAUAAGGGAGGAAAUUUUUGACGUUACCUUAUGAAUAAGGGGCUCCUAAUCUCGUGCCAGCAGGAGCGGUAAUACGAGAGCCUCAAGCGUUAUCCGGAAUUAUUGGGCGUAAAGGGUGCGUAGGUGGUUAUAUUAGUCGAAUGUUAAAGACUCGGGCUUAACCUGAGGAAUGCAUUCGAAACGGUAUGACUAGAGAAUGUGAGAGGUGUACGGAACUAACGGUGUAGGGGUGAAAUCCGUUGAUAUCGUUGGGAACACCAAAAGCGAAGGCAGUACACUGGCACAUUUCUGACACUGAGGCACGAAACCGUGGGUAGC
rnacentral:rRNA from 1 species